AUUGAACGCUGGCGGCAGGCCUAACACAUGCAAGUCGAGCGGAUGAAGGGAGCUUGCUCCUGGAUUCAGCGGCGGACGGGUGAGUAAUGCCUAGGAAUCUGCCUGGUAGUGGGGGAUAACGUCCGGAAACGGGCGCUAAUACCGCAUACGUCCUGAGGGAGAAAGUGGGGGAUCUUCGGACCUCACGCUAUCAGAUGAGCCUAGGUCGGAUUAGCUAGUUGGUGGGGUAAAGGCCUACCAAGGCGACGAUCCGUAACUGGUCUGAGAGGAUGAUCAGUCACACUGGAACUGAGACACGGUCCAGACUCCUACGGGAGGCAGCAGUGGGGAAUCUUGGACAAUGGGCGAAAGCCUGAUCCAGCCAUGCCGCGUGUGUGAAGAAGGUCUUCGGAUUGUAAAGCUCUUUUAGUUGGGAGGAAGGGCAGUAAGUUAAUACCUUGCUGUUUUGACGUUACCAACAGAAUAAGCACCGGCUAACUUCGUG
rnacentral:rRNA from 1 species